rnacentral:rRNA from 1 species
GGCGUGUACUGCUUGGCUGGGCCUUACUUCUUGGUGAGCCGGCGUGCCCUUUAUUGGUGUGCGUCGGGGAACCAGGACUUUUACCUUGAGAAAAUUAGAGUGUUCAAAGCAGGCCUAUGCCUGAAUACAUUAGCAUGGAAUAAUAGAAUAGGACGUGCGGUUCUAUUUUGUUGGUUUCUAGAGUCGCCGUAAUGAUUAAUAGGGACAGUUGGGGGCAUUGGUAUUGAGUCGCUAGAGGUGAAAUUCUUGGAUUGACUCAAGACCGACUAUUGCGAAAGCAUUUGCCAAGGAUGUUUUCAUUAAUCAAGAACGAAGGUUAGGGGAUCGAAAACGAUCAGAUACCGUUGUAGUCUUAACAGUAAACUAUGCCGACUAGGGAUCGGAUGACCUCAAAAUUGAUGUGUCAUUCGGCACCUUACGAGAAAUCAAAAGUCUUUGGGUUCUGGGGGGAGUAUGGUCGCAAGGGCUGAAACUUAAAGGAAUUGACGGAAGGGCACCACCAGGUGUGGAGCCUGCGGCUUAAUUUGACUCAACACGGGGAAACUCACCAGGUCCAGACAUAACUAGGAUUGACAGAUUGAUAGCUCUUUCAUGAUUUUAUGGGUGGUGGUGCAUGGCCGUUCUUAGUUGGUGGAGUGAUUUGUCUGGUUAAUUCCGAUAACGAACGAGACCUUAACCUGCUAAAUAGCCAGGCCGGCUUCGGCUGGUCUCUGGCUUCUUAGAGGGACUGUCAG